UGCCUCCCAGCCCUGCCUCUCUCUGUAUUUCCUUUACAACAUGAAAUCAGGAGUAUUUUGGUAGUUAUUUCUGGCUCUGAACACAUUUCUGAUGCUCCUGUCUGCAGGGACUCUCAUUGCACGGAUGCACGAAGUGUGAGGGAAGCACAGCAGCAUUGGUACGUCACACCUCCUACUAAACCUAUCCUUAAUAGUUACUUUAUGCCAAUAGUUGCAUUUGAUGGGCCGUUACUCCAUUUUCACAUUUCCACUUUCCAGUUAGGUCACCCACAGCUGGAGAACUUCAGCAGCUCUGACCAAAAUUCAGCCUCGGCUGCUGCUGCAUGUCCCAAGAUCCAUCAUUCACGUCAGCCUGAAGCUGCCGGUGGCAGGAGUCCCAUUUUCUUCCUAAGCGCUACAUAAAAAGAUGCAGACAUUACCCAGCUGGAAGCCUCUCCUAGUCUGAAGAUCUGGCGUGUCAGCCAAGCUGAUCUGGAGUUGAGUCAUUGCUAACUCCAAAAUUGAAGUGACAGCCGUGGUCGCCCUGUCUUGUGGCAGCACCAUGCACAACUCCACUGGCUGCAGAGAAGGUCAGAGCCUGCCCGGGCGUGCACGGGGAUGAUGGGAUGAGGGCAUUUGUGGGCUGAAGAUUUCACUUGUGCAGCCAGGAUUUGGAAAGCACUGCUAUUCCUGUUGUGCACAAAGGGAUGGAGAGGUGCAGUAAGUCAACCCAGGUUCUGCAUGGUCCAUCCAUGGCCACAAAGGACUCGUGGCAGGGGAGGAUGCAAAGCUGGGUCUCCUAGGUCCCAGCACAGAGACUUACUUAAAAAAAACAAAACCACCACCACCUCUGACUGAAAGCAAAGGAAGAAAUUAAUGUUAAGUUUCAGAUGGUAUAGUUUUGGGGCUGAAGUCCAGUAUCAGAGAAGUGUUCAUGGGAUCCAGGAAACAGCAGUAUUAGUAGUCAGAUAAUUAACCAGCUGUUUUGAUGAUCCUUUUCAAGGACAUUCUGGCCAAGGUCUGCUAACUCGUUUCUCUGUUAUAUCUAUUUGCAUGUCCAUCCUCUCCAUCUGCCUACAGGGUUUCCAGGCUGCUUAUCACCCCCGAUACCAUGUCUAUGUGCCUCCCAACAGCACCAGGCAAAUAAAACACCUGCAGGCAUGACUGCUUCACGAGAAGUCAAAGUGGAUCCUGCUCCAGGCAUGUUUUUAAAAAGGUAAGUCUAAACAGCGAUUUGGAGGAAUAAUCAGAGGAAAGGCCAUCUGCUGAACAGUCCCAGCGAGUCCAAGACAACAUCCUAAAAAUCACCAGCCACACCAGCAAAAGCCCUGAGAGCUUCUAAUACACUGCCCAGUUCUUCAUGACGAAGUGGGAAUCUCUGCAAAAUUUUAGAGAAGCCCAGAGUUUGUCAAGCUACACUCUCUAGUGGUUCUACAGAGCUUAAUUUAUGUGGAAAUCCUGCAGAGGCUCAGGAAGUCCAUCCACCCAUGCAAGUCUUGCUCCUGCAAGGGGGUAUUGCCCAUUUUUCCCCAAAUGGGACAGGCUGGGGGUUGCUCAAGUCCUUCAUUAGUUUCCUCAAAGUCCUGGCGCUGGAGAGAAACCACUCCUGGUCCCUCAUAUUGCACACAGAGACCUGGCCCAGAACUUCUGCCAGGAUUCUGGAGGGAAAAAAAGUACAAGUGUCAGCAUCUAAAUGAUGUGAAAUGAUCCACAGCCUUCUGAGAUGAAAAAAGCACUAAUAGGAGUUCGGGUUUCUUUAAUCCAGUUUAGGUGCAGACUCCUGUGACUCAAGAUAUGCCUUGGGUCAAAUGCUGCUCUUGGUUAUAGGAUGAUGAUGUUGAGGCAAAACAAUGCCUUGGCAUCGAGGGUUGGUGCUGGCGUCCAAGAGCAGGAUUGCCCCUUGCCCCUGAAAAAGCCAGAUAUCAAAUGCCAACCUCCAAAACAGAGUAAAACCAGAGUGGCACGCAGAAUAGCCGGCUCCUCCUUGGACCAAAGCAGUCACAACCCAAGCGCAUUAGAAAAUCAUCACACACAACCACAUAACACACACAACCACACUUCAGGUAGGAGGGUAAAGCUUCCUUCUGCCAACCACAACCGGACCUGCCCCCGUGGCGAGCUGGAUGCUGUAUGGAGGGUGGAAGGGUUUGGGAGGGGGCACAGGUGAAGAGAAACUCACAAUAAUUAAAUAAAAUACAGGCAUCAUCUUUUUAGGCCAAAGGAUAUGUGUUGCAAUAGAUACAAUAUGGAGACAGUGAGUGAAGGAGACAUUGCCAAAACCCUCACAAAACUAGACUGAACACAAGAAUGUGUCUCUAUCCCUGCCUACUAGUGAUGGGAGACAAAAAUAAGUGUCAGAUAGACAGUCAAUAAACAGAUUUUUCUUUUCCCCAGGUGUCCCUUUCCAGGUCAAACACAUCCUAUGAGCACUGCACCAAACUGCCCAAAUUGCCCCGAGAGCGUCAACGUUCUAUGUCAGCAAGCCCUGCUUGUUAGGUGAAUGACGAUGAUGAAGCAGCUCUGGCACGCUGGCUUUGUGCCCGCCUGGGAUGGAACAUCCAUCCAGGCAGCCCUUGGAGGGCUAUGGGCCCCUUGGGUUGGGUAUUUGGGAGGCUUUGGCAUGCACCAGCCAUGGCAUAAGGCUGGAUCUGGGGAUGGUCACUGGCCUCUUGGACAACUCUUCCCACUCCCUGGUUCCUCUCCUUGCUCUUGCCCAGGGCUAAUGCUUGAAGUAGGCUCCGAGGAGGAAAACCAGCCCAGCUCAAAGGGCUUUAGAGAAAGGAAAAAGCACAUCAAGGGAAGAAGGUUGACUGCAAAACCCCUUCACCACAAUUUUCUCCAAGAUCUCAGAAUAUGACUCAGAGCUUAUUAAAUAGUGUCAGCCUCCUAAAGAGAAGUUUGGCCCCAAAUGGUUUUCUUGAUAUUUCUUUUAAAAGAAACCUUGAAAAACCCACUUUUACAACUAAGCACAGCACAUCCAAUACAAGCAGUUUUCCUUUUCUUCCCACCCUCUUCUUUUCUACCCCACUGAAUAUAUCUCAGCGGAGUAAAGUAAGGUUGAGGUAUGCCUUCAAGGACAGAUGCAGUUUAAGCUACAGUAAUCUGCUUCUACUGUUAUAGAUGCUCAUCUGCUGCAUAUAUUUAGACUUUUAACAA